UACGAAGGGGGCUAGCGUUGUUCGGAAUUACUGGGCGUAAAGCGUGCGCAGGCGGCUUCUCAAGUCAGGGGUGAAAGCCCAGGGCUUAACCCUGGAAUUGCCUUUAAGACUGCAUCGCUAGAAUCGUGGAGAGGUGAGUGGAAUUCCGAGUGUAGAGGUGAAAUUCGUAGAUAUUCGGAAGAACACCAGUGGCGAAGGCGACUUACUGGACACAUAUUGACGCUGAGGUGCGAAAGCGUGGGGAGCAAACAGG
rnacentral:rRNA from 1 species